AUGGCGGCGCACGUGCUGGCCUUCCCGUGGCCGCUGCAAGGCCACAUCAACCCCAUGCUCCACCUCGCCUCCGCCCUCCUCGACGCCGGCCUCCGCGUCACCUUCCUCCACACGGAGCACAACCUCCGGCGCUUCACCCGAGUGCCGCCUCAUCACCCGCGCCUCCGCCUGGUGUCCAUCCCCGACGGCCUCCCCGACCACCAUCCCCGCUCCGUGGGCGGCCUCAUGGAGCUCGUGGAGUCCAUGCGCACGGCGGGCAGCGCAGCGUACCGCGCCCUGCUGCUACGGAUGGUGGACUCGGACGACGACGACGCGGUGACGUGCGUCAUCGCCGACGGCGUGAUGCCGUUCGCCGUCAGCGUCGCCGAGGAGCUCGGCGUCCCGGCGCUCGCGUUCCGCACGGAGAGCGCGUGUGGUUUCCUCGCGUACCUGUCCGUGCCCAGGCUCCUGGAGCUCGGCGAGAAGCCCGUCCCUUGCGACGAGCAGGUGCGCGGCGUCCCCGGGAUGGAGGGGUUCCUACGGUGCCGAGACCUUCCGCGUGUGGUGCCACCGCCACCUGGACGUGGAAACGGCGAAGAAGAGGUCGUCGACCCCGACCCCGUUCCCGUGCUGCUGACCAUCGCCGACACCGCCGCUCGCUGCGGUGAGUCACGGGCGCUGAUACUCAACACCGCCGCGUCCAUGGAGGGGCCGGCGCUCUAG
rnacentral:rRNA from 1 species